rnacentral:rRNA from 1 species
UACGGGGGGGGCAAGCGUUGUUCGGAAUUACUGGGCGUAAAGGGCUCGUAGGCGGCCAACUAAGUCAGACGUGAAAUCCCUCGGCUUAACCGGGGAACUGCAUCUGAUACUGGAUGGCUUGAGAUUGGGAGAGGGAUGCGGAAUUCCAGGUGUAGCGGUGAAAUGCGUAGAUAUCUGGAGGAACACCGGUGGCGAAGGCGGCAUCCUGGACCGACACUGACGCUGAUGAGCGAAAGCCAGGGGAGCAAACGGG